AUUGAACGCUGGCGGCAGGCCUAACACAUGCAAGUCGAACGAGUGGCGGACGGGUGAGUAAUGUAUGGGAAACUGCCUUAUGGAGGGGGAUAAAUACUGGAAACGGUAGCUAAUACCGCAAACCAUCGGGUGCGCCCAGAUGGGAUUAGCUAGUAGGUGGGGUAACGUCUCCACUAGGCGACGAUCCCUAGCUGGUCUGAGAGGAUGACAAGCCACACGGGAACUGAGACACGGUCCAGACUCCUACGGGAGGCAGCAGUGGGGAAUAUUGCACAAUGGGCGCAAGCCUUAUGCAGCCAUGCCGCGUGUAUGAAGAAGGCCUUCGGGUUGUAAAGUACUUUCAGCGGGGAGGCGUUACCCGCAGAAGAAGCACCGGCUAACUCCGUGCCAGCAGCCGCGGUAAUAC
rnacentral:rRNA from 1 species